CCCCGAUGAGGAACCUCCCACGUGUCUGAGCGCCUCCCAGCAGCAGAGCCUGAGCUCAGGCAGAACCCACUGCUGCUGGGGGGCGGAAAGGAGGAAGCUGCGUUCAGCUGAACGGUCUGAGGGGG
rnacentral:snoRNA from 1 species